GACGAACGCUGGCGGCGUGCUUAACACAUGCAAGUCGAACGGAAAGGCCCUGCUUGCAGGGUAUUCGAGUGGCGAACGGGUGAGUAACACGUGGGUGAUCUGCCCUGCACUUCGGGAUAAGCCUGGGAAACUGGGUCUAAUACCGGAUAGGAGCCAUUUUUAGUGUGAUGGUUGGAAAGUUUUUUCGGUGUAGGAUGAGCUCGCGGCCUAUCAGCUUGUUGGUGGGGUAAUGGCCUACCAAGGCGGCGACGGGUAGCCGGCCUGAGAGGGUGGACGGCCACAUUGGGACUGAGAUACGGCCCAGACUCCUACGGGAGGCAGCAGUGGGGAAUAUUGCACAAUGGGCGCAAGCCUGAUGCAGCGACGCCGCGUGGGGGAUGACGGCCUUCGGGUUGUAAACUCCUUUCGCUAGGGACGAAGCUUUUUGUGACGGUACCUAGAGAAGAAGCACCGGCUAACUACGUG
rnacentral:rRNA from 1 species